GUUUUAUAUGGCCUGAUUCAGUGUGUGUGUUUUAUAUGGCCUGAUUCAGUGUGUGUGUUUUAUAUGGCCUGAUUCAGUGUGUGUGUUUUAUAUGGCCUGAUUCAGUGUGUGUGUUUUAUAUGGCCUGAUUCAGUGUGUGUGUUUUAUAUGGCCUGAUUCAGUGUGUGUGUUUUAUAUGGCCUGAUUCAGUGUGUGUGUUUAUAUGGCCUGAUUCAGUGUGUGUGUGUUUUUAUAUGGCCUGAUUCAGUGUGUGUGUUUUUAUAUGGCCUGGUUCAGCGUGUGUGUUUUUAUAUGGCCUGGUUCAGCGUGUGUGUUUUUAUAUGGCCUGGUUCAGCGUGUGUGUUUUUAUAUGGCCUGGUUCAGCGUGUGUAUGUUUGCACUGACAUGAAUGACUGGAGGUAGGUAGACUGUGUGUGUGUACUAACUUGUCCUGUAUGGCAGGAGGUAGGCAGAUCUGAGCACUGAGCUUUCAC